UUUGCAAUCCAUGAGUGAAGAUUAAGCAGCGAGAGGACUGACCCUGAUCUUCACUGUAUGUUCGUUGCUUAAAGGACAUUGGCAGGAAAUGGUCAGCCUGAGGACACAAUGAAAGGAAACAAACGCAGCAGAAAAAGUUUCACUGAUAACAUGUGAUCGGAGCUGGUGAGCAGCUUCAGCCGGUCAUCCAGCUAUUCAGGCCAAAGUCUCAAAAGCACAGUGCUGACUCCAACAAGAAUGUGUCAGAAAAGCAUGUGCAGGGCUGGUGAAUGACACCUGACACACGGCAGGUGGGCAGGGAGGGAGGGAAAAUGCUUUUUGCAAAUUACCAUAUUGUGCAAUGCACUUCUUGUUUAAUCAGUCAACGUCCAUUUGAGAAUGCUUCUUUUGGAAUGAAUUGAAAGGUGGCCGUGUGUCAACAGUAAUAAUAUAUGCUCUGUGAAAGAUGGAAUCAUAGAUAUAGUGGGUGCUCAGCAAAAUCAACCAUUCAUUCCAUCUUUUUGCAUCUUAGCAGUUGAAAAUACACUAUGCUAGGAAUCAGCUGCUUGCUUGAAGAUAUCCAUACAGACUUUUCACCCUGUAUAGGGUGUCCGGUUCUUGUAAGGCUUGCUGAGCCAAUCGGAAGAGGUAUUAGAAUAGAACAAGCAAUAUUCUCUGUAGCAUGCUCAACCUGGGUCCUUUUCUACAGUAGAGGCCUCACAAAGAGAGCGGGGAGGGGGAGAGAGAGAAAGGAAGAGAGCGCACGAUUGUAUAGGGACUUCCAGACUAAGCAUGAGGAAACUAAGUGGCUUUCUGGAUGUUCUUUGACUUCGAUCAGGCCCAGCCAGCAGCCAAUGGUCAGAGAUGAUGGAAAUUGCAGUUCAAAAACAUCGGAAAGGCCACACCCCUGAUGUCCAACUUGUGGUUCAACAGACAGAAUUGUGCCACCACCUAUGACCUACUCGCUUGAGAAAUGUAAGUCCCAUAUUUCUACUGGUGGCAUUUUCUUAGCAUAAGCAGAAGAGGCCAACAUUAGUUUAAAGUAUUUAUACCCCUCUCUUUAGCUGAAGAGACCCCUACAAACAUCAGUCAUGGUCUAAGAGUGCAUAAAAGACUCACACUAGAUCCCAGGGAAAGCACUGAAAAGCAUUUGUGACUUGUAUAAUUACUAUACAUUCAUUCCUCGGGUUGCGAACGUGAUCCGUGCAGGAGGCAGCCUGAAGCAGCCUGAAGCGCUGCAUCUGCACACACGCAUGAUGCGAUUCGGUGCUUCUGCGCAUGCGCAUUAUGUCAUUUUGUGUUUGCAAGCGCCGAAACCCGGAAGUAACCUGUUCCAGUACUUCUGGGUUCGGCGCAGUCUGCAACCUGAAAACGCGCAACCCGUAGCGUUCGUAACCCGAGGUAUGACUGUAUAAAGAGCCAUGUCAGGAUAUAUGUACACAAAUCAGGGAGCCAAAAUAUAAAGACUUUAAACAAUGGGAACCAAAGAAGCUAAACGACAGCACGAAUCUUCAAAUUUUUCAUAACAGACAGGGCCUAUAAGGGUUAUGGAAAGGGACCUGUGUUACAAUUUUUACCUGGCACAGAUAAAUGAUGCUUUGCUAAUGGGUAUCUGGUUCGCCACAGAGACUAAUAGGAUGCUCAAUGAAAUGGAUCCGACAUCUGAUCCAGCUUCCUAUUCUUAGGCAUGUUCACACAUUACAUUCAACUGGGUUAGGGGAGAAAUUCAAUUCACAUUUAAAGGUGAACUUACUAAUUUGCAUUUUACAAAACAACACACAAACUUUGUGUUGCUCUGAAGUUUGCAAUGCACUUCUCCAGCCAAGUAUUAUUUACCAAAAAAAAUCAUACAGUGUGGCUGUAGAUUCAUAUAUUAGUGAAAAUAACACACAAACCCCCAUUGUAUUAUGGGGAAAUGCUUUUCAAAAAUGUAUAUAUCAGGAUAAAUUCCAUACGAGAAUGUGUAAGGAGAUUUGCACUGAAAUGCUGAUGAACAAAGCUUUAAAAAAAUGGAUUGCAAAUUAAUGUGGAGAACCUCAGAUUGGAAAAAUGAGAAACUGUGAGAAGGCAAAAUUGACUCCAACAUAUUCACUCAAUCCUACAUUCAAAGAAUGUACAACACAGUAGAUGAGCUAUACAAAUUAACAAGUGUAAUAAUAAUAAUAAUAAUAAUAAUAAUAAUAAUAAUUAUACCCCGCCCAGCCACUCUGGGCAGCUUACAGCUUACACAUAAAGACAUAGUAAAAUGUCAAACUUUAAAAACUUCCCAAUACACCGCUGCCUUCAGAUGCCUUCUAAAAGUUGCACAGUUCUUUAUCUCCUUGAUAUCUAAUGGGAGGGCGUUCUACAGGGAGGGUGCCACUACUGAGAAGGCCCUCUGCCUAGUGUAAACUCUUUCAAACACCUUCACAUGUGCAAAGACACUCUGUGUUCAGAGUAAUGUGUGAAGAAGCAAUUUAAGAGACAUUACAUGAGUGAAAAACACCUUUUACAUGUGGAAGAGCACUUUGGGGUCCAACAAAUAGUUUUUUUUCUCUCAUUGAGAGGGAGGGCAUCCAGUAAUGAUGUGAAAUCACUACAUAUUAUUCUUUUGAAGAGCUCUAACUUUUUCUGUUUUUUUUCCCCACCUUUCAAAAUGCUGCCAGGGAUAACAUGCUUUCUAGUUAAUACGUAAUAAAAAGUACAAUGCCUUUCAUAUAAUCAUCCAGGAAAAACAGGAUUUGGGUCAGUUAAUUUCAAACAGGCUUCAGUGGCCUUUCCAGCUGGCAAUGGCACCAGUAUCAAAACGCCUGGCAGAGCUAUCAGUCUUCAGAUGUGAUGGUACGAUCAAAUUAUGAAGGAAACAACACAAAAAGCAAUGGAAAUACUUCAUUUUGGCUGUCAGACUUCGCAAGGAGGAGCGGAUUUCCAAAACUGAGUCGACAUUGGCGUUAUAAAAUUGGAGAUGAAGCUCAAAGUUUAUGUUCUAAGUGUGAUAACUCUCAACAUAUCGAAUGCCAGUUGCUUCUGCUUGUAGGCCAGCAUAAGGCCGUAUAAGGGCACCUCACAUCUCCUGGCAACCACGUUGUUAAGGACAGAUUACUUUUGUACAGUAUGAAAUUAUGAAAGGAGAAAGAGUGAGAAAGCAUAUUUUUAAAAGGCACUUAUAAAUGAACAGAGGGCAGCGCUGUCAUGUUGCACUUUCCUUGUGUACAUUGCUUUUUUAGGCUGGGGAGUGCUUCUGACAUUACAAAGUGAAAUAACAAAUUCCCUUUUAUUGUUUAUUGAAAAGAGUCUUGCCUUUCUUUCCCCCUCUGGAACAAAACUCCCACGUUCCUUCAGACACUAACAAGGACACCAUGGGCGUAGCUAGGAUUUUUGUUAUGGGGGGCAGGCCUUUUGUUGGGGGGGGAGAACCUCAGUUAGCUAUGUAUUUUUAUUGAUUUUUAUUGAUUUAGGGGGGCAGCUGCCCCUCUCUGCCCCCCUCGCGGCUAUGCCCAUGAAGGACACUGCAUUGACCCACUUGUGGAUGGGCUCUAGCUCAGUGGCAGAGCAUCGAUUUGCAUGCUAGAAGGUCCUAGGGAAGAGAGGGUGCCCUGCACCACCUUUAUAUUUUAAAGAAGAACCAUAGUUCAGUGGUAGGGUAUUGGCUUUGCAUGCAGAAGGUCCCAGGAGGUUUGAUUCCUACUAUAUCCAGGUAGGACUGGGAAUAUCCCCAUCCUGAAUCCUGAAGAUUCGGUGCCAGUCCAUGUGGACAAUACUGAACUAGAUUCACCAGUGGGCCUGACUCAGUUUAAUGCAGUUUCCUAUGUUCCCAUGUUUCCUCUCAAAAGGAUUUCUAGGAGACACUCAACUGUGUUGAAAGAUGGGCUUAGUCAUCUAGGACAUGUUUCAUAGGCCUCUAAACAGUCCAUCUGUGUUUAUUGAAAGUGUUGGGUGGGCAAGCUGCCUCUUCAUGUUGAGGCAAACUCCUCGGCUUUCAACCCAGUAUUCCCAUUUACUCCGAAACCUACAAGUUACAACUGAGUAAUUGGCUACUUUUCGAUGAAGAAUGAAGGGAAAGAGCUUCCAGGCUGAGUGUGACUUCGCCAGCCCAGCUUCCUUCUGGAAUAUUCGUUUUCCGUAAGGAAUGAAGUGCCGUGGCACUGAAAUUCACUCUUUCUCUCCCCCCUCUGUUGUAAUUUUGGCUUUUUAAAAAUAAUGCAGAAAAUAAUAUACAUUUCAAGGGAGUUAACCUUUGGUCCUCGCCCUUUUUCUGCCAAGUCGACCAACCAUUGGUAGUUUAGUUGGACUGACUUAUGUGGAAAAAGAAUGAAAAAGCUUUGAAUUCCAAGCUUUGAGACACUCAAACACUGUGUCAGGGAACUGCCAUCAGUGCCAGAGGGAGAGAGCAAGAUCCAGAGGGAUUCCAGAGAGCGCCCCGGGAUUGGGAGAGGCAGCCCAUCCUCUGGGGAAGAGAAUCAGCGUAGCACCAGUGGAGAAGGGGGGCAGAUGGGGGAAGCGGCGAGGCGGUCCCAUGACUCCUUGCCGGGGACCAGCGGGGAGAGUAGGGGUCCUCCGCUGCCUACGCCCUCCUUGCGCAGAAGGCUUUCGCGCAGAGAGAGUAGGAGGAGUCUAGGCGUCAAAGAGCUUCUUUGCUGGAAGAAGUUUAAGAAACGCCCACUGACGGAUUCUGCCAGCGAUUGAGACAGCCACGGGUGAGUGGCUGUCCGGACAGAAAAGGUUAACUCAGGCAACCCAGCCAGGUGUUUGCACCGGCUUACGCACGAGCAAUCCCUAGAACCACUACACACUGAUUUAUCAGUCCUUCAUGUACUGGAUGAAGCCAUACUGGACAAGGUGAAUGAGGAAAUAAGUAGUGAUGGGUGAACUCCCUUUCUUACAGUAUUGACUUUGUCAGUAUGAGCUUUUUUAGAACAUGUCGUGUGUGUGCACCUUUUCAUCUUGCCGUCUUGCCUCUCUUCCCAAAACAACCAUAUCCAGGAACAAAAACCACAUCGAACAUUUGUAUGAAAUAGACAGAAGUGACUCAAAUAGAGUAGACAUUUGCCAAAGAAAAGGCUUUAGUUGGGUGGUCUGGACAUGUCAAUAACAGCAAUCAGUGAACGUUCCGCUGAGAAGAAUAUUAAAGAAAUUCUGCAAGCGCACUUACUGGCAUUGUAGUUCAUAUUUCAUUUCACAACAAUCAGUGAGAUUAUCGGUGAGGUUAAGGGGUUUAAACUUUUGCACAUAUGCCUACAAAGCAGCUGGCUUUGGGUGCCGAUUGGCUGUAUGCCAACUGCACAUGCGCAGAAUUGCAUUCUGCUUUCUUUGCUGAUGAAGAAACCUUGUAAUUAAAAACAUUCACAGCAUUGUUACAAAUGAGUGCUAGAAAUAGUUAUGAGCAUACUUCACUUGCACUGCAAUUGAAUAUACCCACGCACCAGGAAUAAGCCCUAUUGAAUUUAACAGGACUCCUGAUUAAUAUGUAAUAUGUGUUAAUACUUAAAUUAGAUGUUCAUCUUACAAGACCCAGAGUCUUAUAAGUUUAAGCUACAAGUUCAACGAACAAUAGGCUGGAUCCAGUGCAGACCUUUUGUAAGUGGAUUCCCACAUAAGUGGGAAUGCAGUUUUUGCUGAUUCUCCUUCUUGAGAUCUCCUCCUUCCCCUCCCAUGCUAUUCCACAGAAUCCCUGAGCUAGAGCAGAGGGCUGCAGAGAGAAAUGGCAUCGGAAACUCCCGUCUCCGCCUGCCCAUCCUUCCAUGAGUAGAUCUUUGGUCCAUCAGUAGAUCUAGCCCAAGUGUGUUUGAUAUAAAAACUUCUAGUAUGAUAGAUAAUCCAUGGAGGUCAAAAUGCAUUGCAUUUCUUUCUCUUCUCAAAUUGCCUAUUUUCUGGUUUUACAUCUGAAAUUCAGAUUUUCCUUUAAUUCUUUAAGUUAUAGCCACUGUCUCAGAUCUUAUGGGGUAUGAGAUCUUACUCAGCCCUCAGUGGAAUAGAAGCAGACAUUGACUUUAUAACUUUUUACAAAUAUUUAAAAUCCCAUUGUCUUCCAUACAAAUUCCCCAAAACUAGUCAAUUUCAAAGAAAGAGGAAGAGACAUCAUCUUCCUAUGAGCAAAGGUUUGGAUCAGAGGACUUCCUCUUAAUUUCUGACUAUUGUCCUCAUAUUUCAUUCCUUUUUGUCAUGAAAACAACAUCUUCCUAGACCCUUCUUUAGACAGAAAGGAAACAUGUUGGAAACAUUAUUAAUGUGACCUAACAUAAACUCCUUAUUUAAACAGAAAAUCCAAAUAAGAUUUUACCAUAGGGGAGAAUUUUCUGAUUUAAUGUGUUUUUACAAGCACUUGAGAGGAAGAAAAAAUAAAAAUGAUCAAGUAAACAAGAUAAAAAGGCUGAGCUUUGGGACAUUAUCUAAAGGCAGCAAGCAGAGUAGAAGAAAUUAUCAGAAUUAUGUUUUCUUUCUUUACUGUGGGGAGGGGGAAUGCAGGGAAAAUGAAAAUGAAAAAGCACAACCCAGUAAAACAUACAGCCAGAAUGAAGGGACUUGAAAGCAAAAGAAAAUGAGAUACAAAAAUAUAUAAUUAUGUUCCUUAUGGUAAAAUUAGGGUAGCAUAUGUAGUACCGUACUACUACAGCCUCCCUUCACUCAAAACGGAUGCUAUCUUAAGCAGUUUACAAUAAAUAGGCCAGUUAUAGAUUAGGGCUAAUUCAAACCAGAAUACCCAAAAUUAUCUGUGUUAUGGAGAAGUUAAACAAAAGGCAUAUAUAUUUGUGUAUGUAUGCAUUAAAAGCUGUGUCUACUGUAGAUUCUGCUUAACAGUUUUCCAUCACCUUGCACCAGGAGUCGCAGGAUUCUCCUGCCCCAUAUUUUUUUUUUUUAUUGUACAGAUCAGUCAAAAUAUAGUUAAACAUAAUUAAUAAAAAAGGGGAGCAGAUAAUGUAUACUGUAAAUAGUUUAUUAAGCAUGUAAUCGGUCAUUAUUGCACAACACUUUCAUUCUCAUGAUUUGCAAAUCAUAGCACUUGGCUGUUAAUGAUACUUGUGGAAUAGAUUUAUUUAUAUUCUAGAACGUGAUCCUGUUGAGAUGUCCAUUCUAUAAUGUUCAGGGAUUACUUCUGCAAAUAUAAUCAUAUACACGAAAAGUGUAAUAUAUGUUGGAGGGAUUUUUUUUUAGUGCCAAUCCCAAAGAGUCCAUAGGAGAUGCAGUCUCACGCAUGUUGGCAAGGUGACAAGCCACACAUGUGUGGAAAUGACUAAUUAGCUAGGGGACAUGGGAAUCUGAUAUUGCUCCCAUUGGUAGAGACAUGUCAUGGAAAGGCCUGGAUGUUCUUAAUUACAGAGGAAAUUGCGCCACCCGCCUGCCCCGGCGGUCAAAGGUCAUGGAAAAUUGAAGAGAGUUCCUCAGGUACACCUUUAUUUCACACAUUGGUGGCAGUCCCUUCAAAAAGAAUGAAAAGACCCAAAUCUCGAAGCAUCUGUUGUUCAAAUUCUCACUUCUAAAUAAACCAGUCAGUCCA